GGUCUUUGUGUGUGUUUUUUAGUUCUCCGGAAGAAGCUGAACAGUCGUGGCCAGAAACUUUUGUCGCGAAGAUCCCCCAAGAGGAUCAAUCUCUGCCGCCAGAACAGCCAUUCGUGAUCACUUGAGUGCCCUGUCAGGUGGUUUCUGGUGAUACUGUGCGGUGUUUUUGGUGGUUUUUCCGGCCACGAAGUGCCCUUUGUUGGUGGAAAAACAGAAACGCGAGAGCACAAGAGAAAAAAAAGAAAAAAAAACGCAGUGGCAGCAAACAUGGUGAUUUUGUUUCGACAAAUCGCAAUUUCUGUGCAUUUUCCUGAGCAUUUUGCCACAUUUACCAGGCAUUCUCGGCUAUUCUGUGAUGCUGUUGGGAGGUGAGGGAGUCCAGUGUGGGCAGAAAAGUGCUGAAAAACGUUCAAUAUCGAUGAGGAAAAGCUCAUUCGAUGGUGUUUGAAGGAGUUUGUGUAUGUGUGUGAUGAGUUUGAUGAAAAUAUUUUGCGGUGUUUUUCUCAGUGAUAUACUGUUGUCUCGCUCACACCAAUGGGCUGUCAAUGGACUGUUUGGCAUGUGCGAGUGAAAUGGUUGACUAAUAAAACCAAGAAACUUCUUCCCAAAACGCACACAGACGCAUCUUGGCUCCUCAGGAGUUGAAUGGAGAAGAAACUCGGUGACGAUUCCACAACUCCGGUGCACGAGAAAAAAAAAGAAGUCAUCAAAACUAUUUCCGUGAUUUUUCUUCUUCUUCUCUCCCCAACUUCUCUGGAGGAGGAAGAAAUCUGUUUUUUUUAUUAUUCAUCUUCCAAAUAAACCAUAAAAAAUAAAAAAAAAUAAAAAUUAAAAAAAGAAAAAUUAAAGAAAAACUGGUGAAGUGGUUGUUUAGUGCCUGUGAAAUAAAUGAAAGUGCAUCGUUGGGGCAUAAUUGGACGCUUUUGUGGCAAAAAGCGAAUUAAAUUGAUGGAUAGAGCACCAAAUGACUAGAAAUUCAUCUUAUAUGGCGCUCUCAUACAUCCGCCUCUUUGCUGUGUUUACAUUUGGAUUAUUCCUCACAAAUGGAUCACUAUCAGUGUGUGGAUUUAUCAACAAAGAUGGACCGGGCCCCAGAUUAAGUUUUGCUCUUGAACCACCAUCCUCGGGCAUUGUUUCAAGAAAAUCACCUCUCCUGCUGCCAUGCUCUGUGAAUUUCACACGUGAUUUUUCUUAUGAUGGUGUAAAUAUGAACUAUGAUGGUGAUGAGGGUGAUUACGAGGAUGCUGAUGAUAAUGAUGGGGAUGAUGGUCUAAAUACUAAUAAUUACGAGGAUAAUCCAAAUUUUUCGUCAUCUCACAAUAAUGCGGACGAUUUUGCGAAUUUUAUUGAGGUGAAACGCGAUGGUUCAAGUGUAAUAAUUGAUGAGGACAAUGAUGCGAAAGAAGAUUCCGAAAAUGAUUUUGAUGGAUUUCGUUUUCGUCGUCAAAUUUCCGUCCCAUCCUUCACCUAUACAUGGUUUCGCAAUGGUGAAAUUCUUGUGACACAAAAUAACAAUUUUCGCAUCUUUCCAAAUGGAACACUCAAGAUUUUCUAUUCGGAUCAUGCAAAUGGUAUCUAUCGAUGUUUGGUCAAUGAUACAAAAUCAAUUUAUGGCGCUAUUAUAUCUCGAGAGAGCAAAAUUUACAAAACAGAAUUCACACGUGGGAGUAAUGAAUCGAAUGUUUUGGUGGAGAUUGGAAGUCCUAUAGUAUUAAAUUGCCCCUUUAGCAGCACUCCGAGGGCCAAUGUGACGUGGUCCAAGGGAAAGACUACUCUACCAGUAACAAAUGAUAAGAGAAUCUUUCAGCUGCAGAAUGGCAGUUUACUCAUAGUGAAUGCUAAAAGCACAGAUAGUGGCAAAUACAAGUGUAUCGCGAAAAAUGAUUAUUCGCAGAAAACUGAAAGGAUUUUCAUGCCACAAGUCACGGUGAUGGAUUCAAGGACCAAUCAUCAUGGAUUGUUUCCGGCACUGCAACAUGUGGACCAGAAAAUUAUGAAUGGUGACACACUGCAGCUCUAUUGUGUCUCAUUUCAUGAUGAACCUGUUGAAUGGAGUUUUACGCCAAGAAUAUCAUCAAUACCGAUAAAAUUGAGUGGUGUGAAAUACGAAUUGAAGUACACAAAUAUUUCUCGUGAACGUCACGAAGGAGUUUACAAUUGUUCCACCAAGACAUCUUAUCAGAUCUUCAAUGUGACAGUGUUGAUUGAGCCGACUUUUCAGCAAAAUCUAUCGUCAGUAGCCUCGACAAUGGGGGCUUCAGUGAGCCUUCCGUGUUUGUCCGGGGGUAAUCCUCCGGCAAAUAUAACAUGGUAUCACAAUGGAAGGCUCCUGAAGAAUACUCAUGCCAUUCACUAUGAUGACCAACAGUUGAGAUUGCAUUCGAUUGAGCCGGAAGAUGAGGGUAUAUAUCAGUGUUUUGCGAAAAAUGAAGCCGGUGAGAUCCAAAUGUCUGUUUGUUUGUCACUGAGGAAGAGGAAGAAAUUGUCGAGGUUGUACAAUGUGAAAUGCUAUCCAGUCAAUUAUACCACGGUUCGCGUGCAAUUUGAUUCACUUGAACCCAUUCAUAUGGUGAAUUACUAUCUUGCCACGGAGAAUCCCUACACGUGGCGAGCUCCGCGUCCAUUGGAAAUUCAGCGUAAUAAUACAGUGAUCAUUGGGGGCGAAAUGGAGCCCCUGAAGGUCUAUACACUGUACAUGAGGGGCCUCAAGAAGGAUCGCACGGAGAUGAUUGGGAAGCACGUGAAGACUCACAUGCUGAUGGGAAGGCUGACAAAAGGCAUCAAAUGUGCUACUCAAGGAUUGGAGAUAUUCUCUACGCCAUUUCCCACGGGAAUCUUUAUAUGGUGGCCCAAUGUACGAGAGCUCCCAAUUGAGUCAUUUAAGAUUCAAUUUAGGCACCGUGACACCAAGAAUCCCAUCGUCUUCUCGGAUCAAGUCAUUGGAACCACCUGUGAAUUGGAUGAAUAUCGAACGUGGCAGGAGAUUGAGAACAAUCUUACCAAGAUUUCUGCCGAAACUAAAAUUAUCACAAUGCCCCUGAGGAGGGAUUUGAGAUCACUGAGGGAGGCAACGCAGAUGCUGGAAUCUGGGGAAAAUUCAAAUUUGGCAAAUGAAUCGAAUGGAGGUCACAAUGAGACAAGAACAGAACUUUUAAUCCCUGGAAAUGUGACUGGAAUCCUUAUACCAAACUCCAGAAAGAUUGAAGUGAGAGUUUUGGGGGCUACACCAGAUAAUCCCAUUGAUGAGCAGGAUUUGCAGUAUAUUCCAUGGAAGACGAUUCAAAAUUCACCAAAUGGCGUCUCGCAGCUACGUGCAAAUGCAGUUGGUGCCAAAACAGUUAAUCUUUCGUGGAAUUCCUUUGGAGCCAAAAAUGCCAAUUCAUGUCUCAAACUUUGCUACAGAAACAUCAAUCAGGAUGUUCUUAUUCGUGGCGGCAAGGACGAUGAGUGUCAAACUAUCAAUGCAAAUCGGUCAUCGGUGGAGGUGAAAUCAUUGCCACCAUUCACAAAAUAUAGAAUGUACUUGAGCAAUUGCAAUUCCACCCAUCCCAUUACCGAUGUCAUCACCGUACAGACACAUCAAGAUGUUCCUGGUCCGGUGACAAAGCAUCGGCUUACAUUUGACGAUGGCAUAACGCUCCACUGGAGUCCACCCGUGAAUCCCAAUGGUGUCCUACAGUAUUACUCAAUUGUCUGGAAUAAGGAGGAGGCAGAGAUGUCAGCUAAUGUUAGCAUCAAUGAAAAUACCUUUAAGUUACCAAAUGUGACAUCCGAUGAAAGGAUUAAUAUAACAAUUCGUGCAGUUGGAAGUGCAGGAAUAGGUAUUCCAAUUUAUAUGAUGGAACAAGAUGAGAAGUUGGUGAUACGUCCGGGACGCGAGAGUUCGUCCAAAUCGGCAAAGAUUUGGGGAAUUGUGAUUGGUGUGAGUCUGUCGAUGGUACUAAUCUUUGGGUUUGUUGUGGUAUUCCGGAAGUUGCGUAAAUGCACGAAAAAUCGUCAGAAUACGGUGAAUCACAAUCAGAAUAUGGCCUAUGAUCAGUCUAUGCAUCCGUGCAGUCGGGAUACGCAUGAGAUGCAGACAUUGAUUCCCCAUACGGGUCUCACAACCGCAGCCUUUGCCAAUACACCCAAUGGGAAUGCCAAGCAUGGUAUCCUGGACAGUUUUACGGGUGGUGAGACGAGGAGGGAGAAUGGGAGGGAGAUUGUGGUGAAUUCAUCUCCGAGGGUCAAUCGGGGAAUGAAGACGAGGAGUGGAGGGUGUGAUGGGGGCCAGGAGGAGCAACAGGGAACGGGGGAGGAGGAGGAGGAUAGUAGUUUGGGUGGGAGUGAAAAGUCAGAAAAUACCCUGAGAUUGGACGAAUGCUGUGAGGCUGUGAAGAUGGAAUGCGAAAGGGUGACCAAGGGAACAAGUAAUACAGGCGGCAGUCGGAGUAGGAAUAUCAAUGGGAAUGGCAAUGUAGUGCAUAUGAAUGGAUCAGUGAAGAUGUUAAAUUUUCUACCACAACAUUCCACAACCAUUUUACCACCGAAUCAGCAAACACCCAACAAUAACAAUGUCAAUAGCAGCAAUGACGAGGAAAAUUUGCAUGAGACAACAGCGGAUUCCUUCAAUGAUGACAGUCAGCAGGAACUUUUGGGCCAUUCAGUGCCGAUUUUGGCAAAAAAUAUACCAAAUCGAGUGGCAAAUGAUAUCAAAUAUCACAAUGGUUCAAAUGAUAUUCUAUCUGCUGCACAUCACAAUGGUAUUGCAAAGUGCGAUGACACCUUCAGUUGGAUUGUCAACAAUGUGGCGAGUGGGAAGAAUCAUCAGAACAGUGAUAACUAUCGAAGACCAAUUGUUGGACCAAAUGGAUAAAAGUUUGAUUUUUGGAUUCCAAAGGUUCAAACCAGAAAAAUCACAUGCUCUCCCUCAUGUGCCACAGAUACUCCCCCCAGAAAAAAGAAACAACAUCCCAGGUUUUGAUUGUGGAAAUAUUGAAAAAGAGAAAAAAGUGCGUAAGCGUAAGAGGAUAUGAAAUUGAAAAAUAAAAAGAUAUUAACUGUUGUGUUUUUCACGUUGUUGUGAAACGUGUAAAGAAAAGAAUGGAAGGUAAUCUAAUUGAAAAAAAAAUGAAGAAGUAUAAGUGAAACUCCAUUAAGUAAUUUUUAUAAUAUAGAAGGUAUUUUUUGGAAUAUUUUUUUCUUUUUUAAAUAAUAUUGGAUAACAUUUUCGAAUGAUAAAAAAAUUAGGUCUUAGUGGAUGAAAAGUUUGAAGAAGAAAACAAAACGGUGGUAGAUCGAAAUCUCAUGUCUAAGCUAAUUAUUGAGUGAAAAUUAAUUAUGAUUUUAUUUCUAAUUUUUUUGUAAAAAAAAUCUUUUUUUUUUUUUAAAAAAGAGAAAAAAUUCAAAAACUUAAAAUUUCGCUCAAGAUUAUACGAGGACAGAAUGUGAAAAGAUAUUUUUUUACACUUAUCGUAUAGACUUUUUUGGAGAAUUUUGUCAAAAUACUUUUUCACUGUCCUGAAAAUUUGAAAAAAAAACAAAAAUGAAAAUUUUUUUAAUGUCUUAAAUGUAAGAAAAAUGUAAGGGAGUAAGAUUUUUUCAAAGUAAGGGGCUAUUUAGGGGAGUUGAGAAGCUAGAUACGUAUGUUAAUAAUUACCGUUAGUUCUUGUACCUGAUUACAUCAUAUAGAUAUUUAAAAAAAACAUAUAUUACAAAUAAAAUAAAGAAAACAUAAAUAAUGAAAUAAACAGAAAACACAGAAUAAGAUUGAAAGAUGCACAGAGGAGGGAUUUCUUAUUUUACAAAAUACUUUUUUUUUAUAUCAUCAUUGCAGUUAAUACGUUAUUUCGCGAGAAAAUUGAAAAAAAAAAUAUUUUCAAAGAUUUUUUAAAAAUAGUUGUUUCGUUUUACGUUUCACAUCAAGGAAAUUUUUGAAUGAUAUUUAAUGACAAAUUGGCACUAAAAAAAAAACAAAAACACAAAACACAAUUUAUAUUGGUAAUUUGAAAUACGAAAAAAAGAGAUAAAUAAAAUUUUUAAAUUUCAAAACAAUAAGUAAAAUUUAAAAAAUAAAAUUUUUACUUAAUGGGACGAAAUUAGGUCAAAUCUAACGGCAAAAAAAUUUAAUUGUGCCUUUAUUGUACAAACAAAAUAUGAUGAAAAACACAUAAUUGAACAAAUUAAAAUUGAAAAAAACAUUUUGAAAAAAAAAUUAAAAAACUUAUUACCAGUUUAAGCAAAAGUGUUAUGAGAAAGUUGAUACCAGAUUGACAAGUACAGUUGAAAUGAAGAGAUUUUGCGGAUUUUGAAAAAGAAAAAAGAAAGAUUUAUUGAAUGGGUACGAGAAUGGUAUUUUUUAAAUCUUAGAAAAGAUGCUUAAAAAUUAAAAAAAACAAAAUUUAAAAGAAAAUACCUAUAAAUUAUCUAAACUUUCUGUCAUUGUGUAAUAAUUGUGGACAAUUUAUUGAGUGUGUCUUUUUCUUAAUCACUUUUAUUAUUAUUUUUUUUUAAUUAUUAGUUUUUCUCCAGUUUAGUGGUAAUCAGAAGGUGUAAGAUUAUUUUUUGUUUAACUUUUGGAAGACGGAUUAGUACAAAAUUGCAGACAUUAUUUAAAUAAAGAAGCGAAAGAACACUUUUAAUGGUAAGGGAAAGAAAAAUCAAGUUAAAAAAUCACACAGUGCCAAUGUCCAUGAUACCCAGAUCUAGCCCAAUAGAACAUUUUUUUUUAGAAAACAAUAGUUUAUUAAAAAGUAGAUGGGAUUCCUUCAAUUUACUGGAUUUUUUAAAUCCAAUAUUUUCCAUGGAAGCUCCUCCCACAAAAAAGCCGUUGACUCCCAAUUUUUAAUAUUGAAGAGGGCGUGGCCUAAAAUUAUACGCGGAGUUAUUUAAAAAAAAUCCGGUAAAAUGAAGUAUUUCCAUCAGAAACAAACCAUAACCAUUUAGAAAAAAAAAAACAUACAGAAAUAAACAUAAAAAGUGCAAUAGACAGCUUUAAGCUUUUCCCCCCAACCAAUCACAACUAACACCAUUUUUAACCAAUUUUUCAACGUUUUUAAUUUUUCUUCCAUCCCAGAUGAUUUUUUUCAUUCCUUUAUUUUGAUUCCUUAAGCAAAUAAUGUGCAUUUCAUAACUGAAGAAAGAUACACAGGCAUUAAUUUCUUUUUUAAAAGAAAAUUUUUGCUCAAGAAUACGUACUUUUGGGACUGAGAAACUUUUUAUUUAACUUUUUAUUUUCACUUUAAGACAAGUUUUGUGAUUACCACUUUUGUAGAUUUUCCUCUUUAUUAACAAUUUUAUUAAAAUAUAGCUUGAUUUGACAGAUUUUCCUUUGAUGGUCUAAUUGUGGUCAUAAUUUAGUAAUUUUGGGAAAAGAAAUUUCGUUUUAUUUUUAGUACAAGAGUGUUAACUAUGUUAUGUACUAAAAAUGAAAAAAAUAACUUUUGGAAACGGGGGAACUAAUUCAUGUAUAGUUAUCGGAAUAGCGUAUACCCUCGUUCUUUACUAGUAACAGAUUUCAUCAAAUUGCUCCUUUGAUUCCGAGGAGCACUAAAAUGUAGUUCAUGGAAUUAAAAAACAUCCAAGAUAAUUAGCGAAAACGUGAGGAUAUGAAAUUUCCCGCGCUUUCAAUCAAGCUGAACGUACUAGGUACAAGCUCUCAGAAACCCUUCAAUUUAGGGAAGUACUAAAAUUUUGUUCUAAAAAGGAAUUUAUGAAAAACAUUUGAAAUCGUCGGAAAAAGUUAAGUUAUAAGAUUUCCAUUGCUUUAGAUCAAGCUAAUUUUUUUACGAUGGAUUUAUCUGAAAAUCACCCCUUUAAUUCUAAGAAGUACUCAAACUCGGUUCUAAAAAGGAAUUUAAGAAAAAUGUUUAAAAUCGCUGGAAAAUAUUAAGUUAUAAGAUUUCCAGUUAUUUAGAUCACGCUAAAUUUAUUUACGACAGAUUUACCUGAAAAUUCUUCCUUAAAUUCCAAGAAGUACUAAAACUCAGUUCUAAAACGAAAUUUAACAAAAACAUUUGAAAUCCUUGGAAAAAGUUUAGUUGUAAGAUUUCCAAUGAUUUAGAUCAAGCUAAAUUUAUUUACGACGGAAUUAUCUGAAAAUUACCCUGUCAAUUCCGAGAAGUACUAAAACUCAGUUUUACAAAGCAAUUUAAAAAAUGCUUGAAAUUACAUGUAUUGCUCAAUAAUAAAAAAUGAGGGUAAAAAAAUUCAACUUGUUUAUGACCUAGCAGAAAACAUACUUUCACAAAAUUUUUCCUUAAAUUCCUGAGAAGUACUUUAAAGCUUAGUUCUAAAAAUGAAUAAUCAGAAUGUUCGAGAUUACUGGAAAAAUGAGGGUUUAAAAUUCCUGUUGCUUUCAGCCUAGCUAAAUUUUCUCUUAGAUUCUCUCGAAAUUUCCUCAUUCUCGGAAAUACUAAAACUUAGUUCUAAAAAGGAUUAAAGUGAAGUUUUAAAAUAUUUUUUCCCUAAUAUCGAAGUAAAUAUUCCAAUGACAUGUUCCUUCAAAAUGUCCUGUCAAUUCCGGGAAGUACUAAAACUUAAGAAAAUAAUACUUGAGAUCACUGGAAAAAUGUUAGGUUAUAAAAUUCCAUUUGCUUUUGAGCUAACAAAAUUUCCUAGUGACAAAUUUUCUCAAAAUUUCCGCUUUAUUUCAGGAAGUACUGUAAAGCAUAGUUCCAAAAGGAAAUGAAAAGAUUCUUGAUAUCAGUAAGGAAAUUUAUAAAAUUCCUAUUGAUUUCAACCGGUUUAAUUCUCAAAACUUUCCUUUAAUUUCGGGAAGUACUAAAACUUUGUUCUAAAAUUAAAUGAAAAUGAAGCUUGAAAUCAAAGGAAAAAUUGAGAUUUCCGAUUUCUUUAAAGCGAGUUAAAUUGCCUAGUGAUGAAUUCCCUCAAAAUAUCCGCUUCAAUUCCGGGAAGGACUAAAAAUUAGUUCUAAAAAGAAAUACGAUGUAUGCUUGAGAUCACCGAAAAAAAGUAAUCUUAUUAAAUUUUCGUUCCUUACUUUGGAUCAAGCUAAAUUUCCUAAUAAUAGAUCCCCUCAAAUUGCUCCGUUUAGUUCCGGGAAGUACUAAAACGUAGUUCUAAAUAGAAAUCUUCCCUUUUGGAACAAAGAAAUCUUUCGCUUCAGAAAAAAACUAGGUAUUUUUUAUUAUUUUAAAGUACUCUAAAUUUGAUAGUUACAGAGGCUCUUAAAGUAUCCUUUUCUACUGUGCGGGAUGUACUAAAAUUAUGUUUCUGUAAUCAUUUCUUAUAACUUCCAAAGAUUUUAAAAAUUGCGCUGUUGAGUACUAAAGAAAUUCACACCAUUAGAAUUGGAAUGUUUCCCCAGGAUCAGAGCCCUCUGGUGGUAAAACUAACUUUUUAUUCAUACCGUUUUAUUUGACAAAAAGACAUUCUAAGGAUUGGAACAUCAUAACCCAGAAAAAUAUGAACAAUUUCGUGAUAUUUCAGGUUUCAUGUUAUUAGCAUUUUUGAGGUUAUGCAAUCCUGAACAGACGUCACUUUGCUUCCUAACCUCAAAUUUUUGAAAUCUAAAUUUGACCACAUUUAGAUCGUUAAAAGAUGAAAACAGCAAGUCAAGUUCUUAUUUUGAUGUUUUAAUUGUAAUUUUUCCUUUUUGUUUUAUCGAGUGCUUUUUUUUAGGAGAAACUAUUUUUGAAUUUACAAAAAUAAGAAGAAAAUAGAAGAAGAUAAACUGAGGUACUGAAUGGAAUAUUUCUCUGUGUAAUGUUUGUAAAGUGUAAGGAUUUAUUGUAAAUUAAGAAGACAAAAAAAAGAACAUAAGGGAUAUUUUACGUAAUGACAAACACGAAGAACAAAAUGUUAAUUCAUGUUAAAAAUAAAAAGAGAGAAGAGAUAAAUAAGUGAGAAGGAACUAUUUGGCACUGAAAAUUUUUAAAAGAAAUUGAACAUAAUUAUGAGAGUUAAGCAUCAAUGAGAUAAAUUUGCCGUUUAUCGUCAAUUUUAUUGAAUGUUGGAUAAGAAAUUGAUGAAAAAACUUUUCGAAGUAUUUUUUUUAAAAUAAUUUCUACAAAGGAAGAAAGGUGAGAAAAACGUUGCUUAAUAGAAAAAAACUGCAAUAGUAAUGGGGCAGAGACAAUAUUAAUAAAAGAAAAAAAAACACUAGGAAGGAUUAAAAAAAAACUAUUUCCAAUUAAUUUAUUGAGAAGAGGCUACAAGAAUCACACAAAUAUUUCUAUUUUUCCUGCAAUGAUUAUCCCUUUUUUACCAUGAAAAAAAACUUUUUGUAUUUUUCUAUUUUUUGUGGUUUUCAUGGAAACUUUGUUUAAAUGAAAAAAUAACUCAGGAUACAUUUUUUGUAUGCAUAUUUUCUAGGUUCUUACGAGCAACUCACAAUUGCUUUUGUUUUGUAAAUAAAAUGGGACUGUAAUAUAAUGAUCAGGGCAUAAUAACAUUUGUUUAUAAACUUAUUUUCAAAUUUUCCUAUGAGAUAGAGUGAGAUGACUAGAUCUAGAUCUCACUCACUCUCAUUGAAGUGUCAAAAAACAUGUUUACUAAACAAAAGUUAUUGUGCGUUGGUCAUAAUGCCCAACGCACAAUAACUUUUGUUUAGUAAACAUGUUUUUGAUAUUUCAAUGAGAGUGAGAGAGAUCUAGAUCUAGUCAUCUCGCUCCUUCUCACGAGAAAUUUUAAAAACAUGUUCACAAACAAAACUUAUUGUGCGUUGGGCAUAAUGCCCAGCGCACAAUAAGUUUUGUUUUGAAAACAUGUUUCCGAAACUAAGUACGAGAGUGAGCGAGAAGACUAGAUCUAGAAUUCAUUCACUCUCAUUAAAGUGUCAAAAGCAUGUUUACAAGAAAAAAAGUUAUCGUGCACUAGGGAUUAACCUGCGACAUUUCCAUGAAUUUAUACAAAAAAAAUACGUAAAGGUUGAGUGUUCUUCACGGUCAUGACUUAGGUCUCAACUCACAUUCAAAAAGUUAGAGAUCAAAUCUUCUCCGCUACGUUUUUUUUCGUGAAUAAAAGCAGACGGGAAUAGAACAGAGGGAAGAAAACUUAGCUUCUUAAGCCCAGGAAAAUCUCAUUAUUCCCAUCGUAACCACUUAUUGAUCCUCAUUUGUACGCUUAACACGGUUUCUUACAAGGGAAGUACUCGAGUCAUCAAAUUCAUAUAAAUCUGGAACUUUUCUCAACUACGCAGGAAGGCAUCAAAUUAAACGUGGUAUAUUCAAAAAGUACGAAAUUUGGUUAAUUUUUUUUUAAAUUCCCCAAAGUUGAAAAUAUGCAGCACAUAAUAAAGAAAAUUCUAAUGAGAUUGCAUGCAGCGAUGGCUCAGAGGUACAGUUCAGGACAUUCAACGGGAGUGCCGCGGGUUCGAUUCCUGGCUCCAUCUGUUUUUUCCUUUUAAUAUCUUUUUUUCUUUUCAAUAAAAAAUUCUAUUCUUUAUUAAGUAGUAUUAUUGUAGUGUAAAUUGCUUAUAGUGCCGAAUGAAAAUCCUCAACAAGUUUUUAAAAGCAAUGAAAGUGUAUCACGUAAUUUAUCGAAUUAUCAAUUUACUAGUAGAAGAAUAAAAGAUUUAUAUGAAUUUGAUGACUGGAGUACUUCCCUUGUUAGACUCGUAGUGAGUCAAAGCAAGUUGAAGUGCACAUGGCAAUUGGUUAAGAUCAGUUGCAGUGACAGUCUGAGCACAUGUCCCCAAGUGGUUAGAACAUUCGCCUAAACAGCGAAAGGUUCCGGGUUCAAGCCUGGGUGGAGGCGGGGAAAAAAAACAUGAUAAAAAAUUUAAACAAUAGGGGCCAAAUCAAGAUUCGAACCCGAGACCUUUGCGUUAUAAACACUGUUCGCUAGCCCACUGCGCCACCGCUAUUUCUGCUGGAAAUCGGAUAUUCUUUAUCAUAUGUCUUAUGAAAUCAUAAAAAGCGCUUUAUUUUAAAGGAAAAAAAUUAGCACUUUUUUAGUAUGACAUGUUUAUUAUGAUACCUAUCCGCGUCUAUGUUCUAAACCCUCUAAUGUCCAACUUUUAAAUUUACAAAAAAGAAUAGUAAAAUAAUUUUUUUCUAGACUAAUUAUGGCGUAAAAUGCGAAAAUAUAAAAGAUUUUUGAAACUCUUCGCUCCUAAAAUUCAUUUUUUAUUUUUUGCAAUUUUCUAGAUUAAAAUUUAUAAAGUAAAAUGACGUAUCUUUCAGUGAAAAAAAGAACAUUAUUUUACGGCGUUAUCACACUUGCACAUUAAAAUUUUAAUGUGAUUCACAUUAAUUGUCGCUUGUGAGCGUUCAAAUAUGUUAUUUGUGUCUAUGAGUCACUUAAUAUUUGGGGUUUUUCUAUUUAUUGAUAAAGAAGUGGACUUGGCCUGCAAAAAUAAAUUUAAAUUUACCUAAAGCAUAAAUAUUUUUCACAUUAAAAAAUUAAAGAGAAAAUCGCAUUAAUUUUUUGCAUUAAUGCUAUAAAUCAAUUUAUAUCAAAUUUUGCUGGCCAAGUCUACUUUUUUAUCAACAAAUAGAUCAAAUUUUGAAUAUAAAAUGAUUCAAACACAAAAAUUACACAUUUGGACUCUCACCAGCGACAAUUAAUGUGAAUCAUAUUAAAAUUUUAAUGUGCAAGUGUGAUAACACAGUUAGUCAGAUAACUUUAAGUCGGUGUUUUUAUUGAAUUUUGAAAUGAGAUUUUUUGCAUACAAAUAUUUUCCUGCUUUUUUCUGACCUGUCACGCAAAACUGGGGAUAGCAACUAAACGAAGGGUCAAAAUGAGUUUAAAAAAUCGAAAGAUGUUAGCAAGACUAUUACCGAGGACAUUAUAGAACUCUUAAAUAAAUAAAAUAUUAAUUGUCGCUGUAACUGCGAUUUUUGUGAUACUACCUUGCAGUGACUCUUAAACGUUAGAGGGUUACUAUAAAGCCAAUUUGAAUUUAAUGGCUAGAUGACUUCCCUUGUAAUACCAAUUACAGUUUUUCCUCAACAAUUCAUAAAGAAAAAAGGUGAAAAAAAAUGAUUGACCCGAGAUUUGAUCUUGAACUUCUGCAACGUGAGUUCAGUGCUCUACCGUCGUGCUAUUCUUUCAUAAGUGAACAGUGCGUCAAAUGAAGAGAGUCUUCUUAAAUAUUUGUUGUAAAUUACCCUGAAAGGGCUGUAAGCAUAGAAUUUUGUAUGAUUCUUCACGAAUUCCCGAAAUUUAUUUACAGAACAAAAGCAAUCCUACGCACUCCUCUAUUCUGUUGCUUUUUUCUUACUUAAUUUUUUUUCUAUAAUUUAUCUUACAAAAAAGGCCUUUUGUAGAAGAAGCUCAAAUGAGAAAGAACCAUGAAAAUAAUUUAUUUCCAAGCACAGUCAUACAAAACAGAGUUUUAAAUGCACUCAUGUCUUUUUUAUAGUUACCAUUUUUUUUGUUUAAUAUCAAAAGGAUUAUGAAAGGGAAUACAAGAUUAAAAAAAUAAAUAAAAAAAAACAAAAAGAAAAAUUAGAAAAAUAAUUAUUUUGUAAAUAAUUUAGUAAUUAUACAUAUUUUUUGUUUUAAUGUAAUUCCAAAAUAUUAUAUUUUCUUUUAGUGUAUUUUUUCUAUUUUUUUCUAAGUGUUUCAGUUGAGUGGAAAGGAAAGAAAGAAAGGAAAAAAAUAAUAAUAUGAAUGAAAAUGUGUUUCUUUUUGAAAUCUCCCUUUUUUGUUAACGAACAAUCUUUUAAUUUCAUGACAAAUUCAAUGAUGAGAUUCUUAUUAGAUUUUUUUUGUUUGUUUAUAAAGCUCAGAGGUUAAAACCAAAACAUUCCGGUAAGAAAGCAAAACUUUACCACCACAUGAAGCAUUUUUUAAGUAACCCAAAAAAAAAAGAGAAAAGAACGUUUUCAUAAUAGAUUUUCUACUUUUUUUUAUUAACAUUACCUCACAAAUUUCUUCACAAACAUCCUAUUUUUUUUAUUAAUUCAAUAGACCAUUCUUUACAAGAAAACAAAAAUAUUGAAAAAAUAAAAUGAAAAACAGAUUUAUUAAGUUAUAAAAUGCUAAUUGUUACAGUAAAUUUAUUCUUUUAAAACGGGCAGCUGAGAUGAGAGCAAGAGAUAUACAUAUAUUUGUUUUAAUUUUUUUUUAUAAUAUAAAAUAAAUAUUAUAUUAUUUUUAUUUUUAGAAAGAAUAAAAAGAAGGAACCUUUCUUUAUACAUUUUAGUUUUAUAGAAAUGAUGAAAAGAUUAGCUUUCAGUGAUGAAAGUGUUUGUUCUACCUCAUAAGUUUUGAAGGAAAAAAAAUUAAUUAUUUUAAUAUAUUUAUUUUUUAAAAAUAAUUUUUCUCCCUAUAUCCAUUUUUUUUGUUUAUUUUCCCCCAAAAAGAAAAACAUUUAAAAAUUUCUUGUGUCUUAAGUAUUUCUUUGCAACGAAAAAUAUGCAUUUUGAGCAUGAUUUUUUUUUUAAAAAUAAGUUCUGUUUUAUUUUGCUAUAAAUGAAGUCAAAAAACUAAAUAAAGAAAUUCUCAAAAUUUUUUACAAAGAGAGAAAGAUGUGAAAAAAAUUAAUGUUACUUGUGAUUUCGUAAUUGGUAAUUAUGAAAUGAAUUUUAAGAUAUUUUUGCAAAAAAAAUGUAAGGAAAAUUAUUUAAGGAAAAAAAAGAGAAACAAAAAAAAAGAUGCAGAAAAAAGAUUUCAAUUAAUACUUUUGUAAUAUGGAUAACAAAUAAAAAAAAAAUAAAUCGUAUGUUAAUGAGAAAA